rnacentral:tRNA from 2 species
GGCGGACGUAGCCAAGUGGACCAAGGCAGU